GCUCUUGACGAGUUCACAGAUCAAACUGCGUCGGCCACGGCUGUGGUUGAGAUAUGUUCGGCCUUCGUUUGACACAAACGGGGAAUAGUGGAACCUGCGGAAGGAUCAUUAAAGAGAAGGGAGUUCGCUCCCGGGGCUUCGGUCCUCACUCUUCACCCAUGUUUAUAUAUCUUUGUUGCUUUGGCGGGCCUUGGCUUUGUCAUGCCGAUUCAUUCCGGCAAGUGCCCGCCAAAGGAUUUUACAAUUCUUACUUUUUUGCUGUCUGAACAACAAAUAAAUUAAUUAAAACUUUCAACAACGGAUCUCUUGGUUCUGGCAUCGAUGAAGAACGCAGCGAAAUGCGAUAAGUAAUGUGAAUUGCAGAAUUCAGUGAAUCAUCGAAUCUUUGAACGCACAUUGCACUCCUUGGUAUUCCGGGGAGUAUGCCUGUUCGAGCGUCAUUUCUCCAUUCAAGUUAUACUUGGUAUUGGACAUCAUCUGAGAGGAUGUUUCCGAAAGAAAGUGGCAGUUUGUGAAACUUCAAGCGCAGUGAAAAUUUUCGUUCUGGACUACACAACCCCGCCAAAACACCAUAUUCAAAACUUUGACCUCGGAUCAGGUAGGGAUACCCGCUGAACUUAAGCAUAUCAUA
rnacentral:rRNA from 1 species